UAGGAAAUAAUAUAAAGGAAGUAUGAAGGAUUUUGAUUCCUUUCGUGUAGGUUCAAUUCCUACUUUUCUAA
rnacentral:tRNA from 1 species